GAAUCUGGCUCUAGGUCUGGGACAACCAUUGGAAACGGUGGCUAAUACCGGAUGUGCCGAGAGGUGAAAGGCUUGCUGCCUAGAGAUGAGCUCGCGUCUGAUUAGCUAGUUGGUAGUGUAAGAGACUACCAAGGCGACGAUCAGUAGCUGGUCUGAGAGGAUGAUCAGCCACACUGGGACUGAGACACGGCCCAGACUCCUACGGGAGGCAGCAGUGGGGAAUUUUCCGCAAUGGGCGAAAGCCUGACGGAGCAAUACCGCGUGAGGGAGGAAGGCUCUUGGGUUGUAAACCUCUUUUCUCAGGGAAUAAAAAAAUGAAGGUACCUGAGGAAUCAGCAUCGGCUAACUCCGUGCCAGCAGCCGCGGUAAUACGGAGGAUGCAAGCGUUAUCCGGAAUGAUUGGGCGUAAAGCGUCCGCAGGUGGCGAUGUAAGUCUGCUGUUAAAGAGCAAAGCUUAACUUUGUAAAAGCAGUGGAAACUACAUUGCUAGAGUGCGUUCGGGGCAGAGGGAAUUCCUGGUGUAGCGGUGAAAUGCGUAGAGAUCAGGAAGAACACCGGUGGCGAAGGCGCUCUGCUAGGCCGCAACU
rnacentral:rRNA from 1 species